UGCAGCAACCUCCACGUGGUGAGACCUGGGUAAUAUUAUCUAGCGUUUAAUUAAUAAUCGUAUCACUCUCAGCCGGGUGAUGCAAUUAUUAAUUAAAAACUAAAUAAUAUUAGCAAAUUGGCUGCAAUCCGCCUUGCAUAGGUCAGCACAAACAUAGAACUUCUUCGCUAGAUUAGUUUUGAUU